CGGUGAAUAGCGCAGUUUGGUUGCGCAUCUCCAGCUCCUGGCAAAUAGUGGACCAGAGGGGCGGGGUCUGGAAGCCCAGCCGCGCCGAAUCCCUCUUCACCGACCA
rnacentral:tRNA from 1 species